AGCGAACGCUGGCGGCAGGCUUAACACAUGCAAGUCGAGCGGAGCGAGGGUGCUUGCACCUUAGCUUAGCGGCGGACGGGUGAGUAAUGCUUAGGAAUCUGCCUAUUAGUGGGGGACAACAUUCCGAAAGGAAUGCUAAUACCGCAUACGCCCUACGGGGGAAAGCAGGGGAUCUUCGGACCUUGCGCUAAUAGAUGAGCCUAAGUCGGAUUAGCUAGUUGGUGGGGUAAAGGCCUACCAAGGCGACGAUCUGUAGCGGGUCUGAGAGGAUGCUCCGCCACACUGGGACUGAGACACGGCCCAGACUCCUACGGGAGGCAGCAGUGGGGAAUAUUGGACAAUGGGCGGAAGCCUGAUCCAGCCAUGCCGCGUGUGUGAAGAAGGCCUUUUGGUUGUAAAGCACUUUAAGCGAGGAGGAGGCUACUUAGAUUAAUACUCUAGGAUAGUGGACGUUACUCGCAGAAUAAGCACCGGCUAACUCUGUGCCAGCCGCCGCGGUAACAC
rnacentral:rRNA from 1 species